GGAGGGAUGGCCGAGCGGUUGAAGGCAUCCGUCUUGAAAACGGAAGUCCGCAAGGACCGGGGGUUCGAAUCCCUCUCCCUCCGCCC
rnacentral:tRNA from 1 species